GAUGAAGAACGUAGCGAAAUGCGAUAAGUAGUGUGAAUUGCAGAAUUCAGUGAAUCAUCGAAUCUUUGAACGCACAUUGCGCCCGGCAGUACUCUGCCGGGCAUGCCUGUUCGAGCGUCAUUUCAACCCUCAAGCCCUGCUUGGUGUUGGGGCCCCACGGCUGCCGUGGGCCCUGAAAGGAAGUGGCGGGCUCGCUACAACUCCGAGCGUAGUAAUUCAUUAUCUCGCUUAGGGCGUUGGGCGGCGCUCCAGCCGUUAAAGAACCAUCUUUAACUCAAGGUUGACCUCGGAUCAGGUAGGAAUACCCGCUGAACUUAAGCAUAUCAAUAAGCGGAGGA
rnacentral:misc_RNA from 1 species